rnacentral:rRNA from 1 species
UACGGGGGGGGCAAGCGUUGUUCGGAAUUACUGGGCGUAAAGGGCGCGUAGGCGGCCUUCUAAGUCGGACGUGAAAUCCCUCGGCUUAACCGAGGAACUGCGUCCGAUACUGAAAGGCUUGAAUCCGGGAGAGGGAUGCGGAAUUCCAGGUGUAGCGGUGAAAUGCGUAGAUAUCUGGAGGAACACCGGUGGCGAAGGCGGCAUCCUGGACCGGCAUUGACGCUGAGGAGCGAAAGCCAGGGGAGCAAACGGG